GACGGAUGUCCGGUCCGGGUUCUGACGAGUCCAGAUGUGAGUCAAGGGGGUGUGGGGGGGAGAGUCCUCCGGAACAAGGCGCCUUCCUCACCCAUGUGAGAAAGUCUGCGCACGUGUGUGUGUGAAGCGGCAGCGCAAGCCGGGCCGGACCGAAGUGGACUUCCUCCCCCCUCCCCUCUCCUCCUCUUCCUCCUCCUCCUUCUCCUCCUCAGUGAUGUUGGCUUAAAGCGACAAACCGAGCGAGGCUGCCAGCUUUGACAAGGACGUUUAGAGACGCCGGAGCGUCAUCCAGACUCGCACUUCCACACACACUUGUUGUCAGAUGAGGAAACACGAGCGCUCCUGUGAGUCAGCGGAUGGAGGUGGGGGGGGGGGUCACUUCACACCCACCCACCCACGGCGCGCGCUGGCAGGACGCUCUACCUCAGCCACAAAGAAAAAUCCAAAGUUACCCAGCAGAACAAGAAGGUCAAAGGUCCUCCAACCAGUUUCUGGAUUCAGGGAGGAAAGAUGAAGAUUUGUUCCAUCAUCACUUCAGGAAAUGUAAGAAAUAAAAAAGAUGUUUUUAAAAAAAAAAACGGUGAUGUUUGUGAACUUUUUUUAAUUCUUGUUCUCAUAUUUAGUCAUUUUUCAUUUAUAUUUUACAUCUUUGAACAGUGAUGUCUUUUCAUUUUAUUUCAAAUAUCGUUUAGUUUAGAACCUUCCUCAAAGCUGAAAGUUGUAAAUCGAACACAGACUGGAUUCAUGUUUUGAUUGUACAACAAUAAAAAUAUAUAUAUUAAUUUGUGGUUGGUGAUAGGUUAGAAUAGACCAGAGUAAUGGUACAUCAUGGAGGAGAAAACACGUUUGAGUUAUCAGGGAGUUUAAAUAAAACGAAGACUGAAAGAAACAGAAAAAAAUCCAUUUAAAUUGCACCAACAGCAGCUGCUGUUCCCCUCUGGAGGUAGAUGUUAAAAAAAGAUCUCUUUUCUGACAGCUCUGCAAAGUGACAACAGGAGGGGAAACCCCCGCAGGAUUCCCCCUCCGCUCGCAGAAACACACCCAUCAGCGGCGGAUUGCGUAGAGUCAUCAUCUCACCAUCUCGCCUUUUUGCCUCAUCCGCCACUCGUUUGGGGGGAGUCGCCCAGCGGCUACAAACUGAACAUGUUUGAUUUGAGGGAGUGUGGGGGUUCGAACGGAUGAAAAUGAAGCCGUUCACUCGGCUACGACGACAAACGCCAACCGAGACACAAUGAGUCGGAACGGAGAUGAAGCCGGGGAGGAGUGCAGCAUCGGCACAUUUGUUCCCGAAACGAAUGCCAUCCACGGGUGAGCGGGCGUGUUCUGCACCAGUCACUUCCUAUCAGUAAACACCACUGAGGGUGACACUGAUCGGGAUGCCACGGCCUAAAGGGAGAGCCUGGUUUGUUUGUUUUUUUUCCACCGUUCCUCCUUCCAGCCACUCACCGUCUCUACCGAUCGACCCUUCCACCAAUCACCAUUCCCCAGUUCUGUCCACACGUCCGUCCGAGUUCAGGUCAGCGCAGGAAGUUGCUUCAGAGGCAAACACUCCUGCAACCUUUCAAAUAUUCCGUCCAUUGAACCAACGAGGACCCAAAACUGCAGUGAAAGAAUGCUCCUUCAUUCCAAAAGAGGUGGCCUAAAUGGAAGUUUUUCAGCAAAUUCGCCAGGUGGUGACCCUGCCUUCGUCCAGAAGUGACCGGGUUAAGAUCCCGUAUCCCAGUGACCCCGAAAGGGACGAAGCACUUUCGAAAAUGGAUGGAUGGAUAAAUAAAAAAAUGGAGAAGUUUUAAUUUGUAGUUGGUAUUAAAAAUGUAUUUUUCUGAAUUCAAGAUGGUGGCCUCCUCCCAAGGUCAAUGGUCAACAGAACUACUGUGAUGGUGCUGAAGUUUGGUGAAGAUCCCCUAAAAAGCAAAAAAAAAAAAAAAAAAAAAAGUUUUCUUUUCUUAAAG